UAGGGAAUCUUCGGCAAUGGGGGGAACCCUGACCGAGCAACGCCGCGUGAGUGAAGAAGGUUUUCGGAUCGUAAAGCUCUGUUGUUAAGGAAGAACGAGUGUGAGAAUGGAAAGUUCAUGCUGUGACGGUACUUAACCAGAAAGGGACGGCUAACUACGUGCCAGCAGCCGCGGUAAUACGUAGGUCCCGAGCGUUGUCCGGAUUUAUUGGGCGUAAAGCGAGCGCAGGCGGUUAGAAAAGUCUGAAGUGAAAGGCAGUGGCUCAACCAUUGUAGGCUUUGGAAACUGUUUAACUUGAGUGCAGAAGGGGAGAGUGGAAUUCCUAGUGUAGCGGUAAAAUGCGUAGAUAUAUGGAGGAACACCGGUGGCGAAAGCGGCUCUCUGGUCUGUAACUGACGCUGAGGCUCGAAAGCGUGGGGAGCGAACAGG
rnacentral:rRNA from 1 species